GGUCUUCGACUGCCAAACCUGGGAAUUUCUAGAAUUUCCAAAUAAAAACCUGCAGAAUUUCACUUCCAACAACCUCAAAACCCAAGAUAAUGCUCCAAAACACAAUUUGAACAUUCUAACACAUAAUUAAGGCCUAAAACAACAUGAAAUUUAACUCAAAGUUCACAUGUAUCCAUCAUGAACAUGAACUUUAAAGUUCAACCCAAUUUUAAACAUAGCAUUAGCAUGAAAUUCUUAGAUCUAUCUAAGGAAGUUAGCCAUCUUAGGCCUAAACACACUUCAAACUUAAUAAAACUCAUAACAAGACUUCAAACACCCAACAUGCAAUAUCCUAAGGAAACAAAUUCUAGGGUUUUUCAUGAAAUUCUCUCAUCUCAUGCAGUCAUUCAAAACUUAAACCUAGGAAAAGUAAAAACUUGAAGGAAAAAGAGAUCUACCUCUUAAUUGACCAUGCCAAAGCAAGGAAGUUGGUGUCAAUCUGCUUUCCUUAGCUUGGAUCAAAAACCCUUUCAACUUUGUACUCCCCAUGCAAAAACAUAGGUGCAUGCAAGAUUUCGACUAAAACUCUCAAUAAGCAAGUUGAGAGACUUGGGAAAAGAAAAGAACGACUUAAAACAGAAAUGGGGGAAGAGAAAUUUACCCGUUUCUCUCCCUUUCUUGGCUAAGAGCAUUAUUUAUACCCGUCUCGUAAAUAGGGAUUUUCAGCAGCCGCAAUUUAAACUUCCGGCAGCUGAAACUUAAACUUCCGGCUGUUGAAGUCCAUACUGCUCGCAAGGAAAUCUUGAAUCCUUUCCUUAACAAGAACACCCAACAAACCUUCCUCAUGUAACCUAGACUCUUAACACAUCAUACACAUACACACAUAAAAUAUAUUUUACUACUAUUUCCUUGUCUGUGAAACUUUGAGUUUCUCGAGAAAUUCCUAUCAAUGAUAAUCGGAAAAUUGUGGGUGUUAC
rnacentral:misc_RNA from 1 species